rnacentral:rRNA from 1 species
UUGCCGCAAGGCCUCCUGGGUAACCUACCACCCUUUGUUUAUUACACUUUGUUGCUUUGGCAAGCCUGCCCUCGGGCUGCUGGCUCCGGCCGGCGAGCGCUUGCCAGAGGACCUAAACUCUGUUUGUCUAUACUGUCUGAGUACUAUAUAAUAGUUAAAACUUUCAACAACGGAUCUCUUGGUUCUGGCAUCGAUGAAGAACGCAGCGAAAUGCGAUAAGUAAUGUGAAUUGCAGAAUUCAGUGAAUCAUCGAAUCUUUGAACGCACAUUGCGCCCCCUGGUAUUCCGGGGGGCAUGCCUGUCCGAGCGUCAUUACAACCCUCAAGCUCAGCUUGGUAUUGGGCCCCGCCGACCCGGCGGGCCCUAAAGUCAGUGGCGGUGCCGUCCGGCUCCGAGCGUAGUAAUUCUUCUCGCUCUGGAGGUCCGGUCGUGUGCUCGCCAGCAACCCCCAAUUUUUUUCAGGUUGACCUCGGAUCAGGUAGGGAUACCCGCUGAACUUAAGCAUAUAAAA